AUUGAACGCUGGCGGCAGGCCUAACACAUGCAAGUCGAGCGGAUGAAGGGAGCUUGCUCCUGGAUUCAGCGGCGGACGGGUGAGUAAUGCCUAGGAAUCUGCCUGGUAGUGGGGGAUAACGUCCGGAAACGGGCGCUAAUACCGCAUACGUCCUGAGGGAGAAAGUGGGGGAUCUUCGGACCUCACGCUAUCAGAUGAGCCUAGGUCGGAUUAGCUAGUUGGUGGGGUAAAGGCCUACCAAGGCGACGAUCCGUAACUGGUCUGAGAGGAUGAUCAGUCACACUGGAACUGAGACACGGUCCAGACUCCUACGGGAGGCAGCAGUGGGGAAUAUUGGACAAUGGGCGAAAGCCUGAUCCAGCCAUGCCGCGUGUGAAGAAGGUCUUCGGAUUGUAAAGCUCUUUAAGUUGGGAGGAAGGGCAGUAAGUUAAUACCUUGCUGUUUUGACGUUACCAACAGAAUAAGCACCGGCUAACUUCGUG
rnacentral:rRNA from 1 species